CCCCUGUUCUGUUCCUUUGGCAUGCUGGUGAUGUUCUCUCUGGAAUGCCCACUGGUGAGGAGAAACUCACUCACCACCCUGAAGGCCAAGUGCAAAGGAAGAAUCCAGGAAGCCUUUCUGAUACCUUUGGUAGGAAAUUGUCACCUCUGCUCUCAACUGCGCAUAUAGCAUCUACUAUAUACAGAUACUUGUCCCACGUCUCCCCACAGGCAGCAUGGACACUUUCCUGCCUGCCUCUCUGUGCAGCAGUGUGACAGCACUUUGAUAAAGUGUAAGCAAAACCCAUGAGGCAAAAAGAGAAAUAUACAGAACAAGACUAGGACCAGAUGGUUAAAGUCAGCCACUGCUUUGAGUCUUUCUGGUUGUCAUGGACACAAUCUUUUCUAUUGUUAGUAGCUCCUGUCUCUAUGGUGAGCUCAUACUUAGAACCAGAACUUUACAAAGGCAAGAAAGAGGAUUGACUGUGGGCGAAUAUUUAAAUGAAGGGAGAAGCAGGUAGAGAGAGAAUCAAAAGAUGGGGAAAAGACUAAAAUGUCUGGCUUUACAGUGGCUCCCCUCCCCCAACGAAUAUAUAUAUUUUUUGUUAGGACUUAACCCAGUGGGACCAGUUCCAGCUAUAAACAAAGGCUCCCAAAAGCUGAGGCAAAAGCCAUACCUUGUACAGGUCUACAUUCUUUACUACACGGCCACGCACCAAGUUAGAAACAGAGAAUUAAUUCACGGAGUGGUAGUUUUGCUUCACAGAAGAGAAGAAGUAAGGUUUCCUUGUCGGGUGAGUACACAGAUCUGCUUUCCUCCUCUCUCUUGCCUGGUUGCUGGAUUGUUCAACUAGAAAUUGUAAGAUAACUGCCUUGAUAUGGCUGUCGCCAUUUUGGUUGGUGAUCUCCAUUUUAUACCUUAAAUUUCCAUUUCCUACAUCACGCAUCAUCAUCCAUAAGUGAAACCGACGCGAGAGCAAGGCUUGUCCAUAUAAGGAAUGGACCACAAAUAAGGACCGCUGAGUGGCUGCCCACUCAGCUGAUGCAAUUCCCCACCCGCCUACACCAGCCCCCUGCUAUUUAACCAAGCCCCUUCCCCGCAGCUCUCUCUCUCCUUCCUCCUCCUCCGCUGAGUAGGUCACUCUGCCGCAGCGGCUCUACGAUAAAUCUCUCAUACAAGCUCUGUCGGUGUGCGGAGGGAUGUUUGGCAGGCGCCAGUUUCUUUCAGAAUUGCAAGUUUAUAUCAACUGGCCCUCUAGCCUAAGAAGGAGAGGAAGAUGCUAAUAACAGAGAGGCUCACAGUGAGGAAAAACAUUUUCCUUAUUCACAAUCCAAACGUCAGGAUUGUAUUUUUUCUUUGUUCAAAUAAACUAAUAUGGCGACUAAGAA
rnacentral:lncRNA from 1 species